rnacentral:rRNA from 1 species
GCGCACCAGGCGAGAAUACUUUACAAUGUGCGAAAGCACGAUAAGGGAACUCUGAGUGCCUCCUAAGGAGGCUGUUCAGGUGUCUAAAAAGCACCUGAAGGAAGGGCUGGGUAAGACCGGUGCCAGCCGCCGCGGUAACACCGGCAGCCCAAGUGGUAGCCACGUUUAUUGGGUCUAAAGCGUCCGUAGCCGGCUGGGUAAGUUCCUUGGGAAAUUUGGCUGCUUAACAGUCAAGCUUUCAGGGAAUACUGCCCCGGUGUUCGGGACCGGGAGAGGUCGAGGAGGUACCUCCGAGGGGGUAGGGGUAGAAACUCC